UAGGUGACGUAUGUUAGAAAAACCAAUUCCAACAGACUAGCAGAGAUGGCUUCCUUUAAAGGAAGGCACCGAUGUCGAUAGAUCGUGCGACCUGGUGGAAGACAGUUGAGAUAUCUUGCUUCGAUAAAACCUAAAAACAAUAUAUAAAGGGAAAGACAAUCAUAAUCCACAAGGGAAAGUCAGGCCACAGUGUUGAUAUAUACCUUUAGAGAGGUUGGAUUUUCAUCACAGGAUCGAUCACCUUACAACUAAGGCCUCUUUCUUUAAACGUGAAAUAUCUGAGCCAAGUACCUUUACUUUCAUGAAAAUAAACACGAGGUGUUUUUAGCCACAAA